rnacentral:rRNA from 1 species
UACGUAGGGGGCUAGCGUUGUCCGGAAUCAUUGGGCGUAAAGAGCGUGUAGGCGGUCCGGUAAGUCCGCUGUGAAAGUCGGGGGCUCAACCCUCGAAUGCCGGUGGAUACUGUCGGGCUCGAGUUCGGAAGAGGUGAGUGGAAUUCCUGGUGUAGCGGUGAAAUGCGUAGAUAUCAGGAGGAACACCUGUGGCGAAAGCGGCUCACUGGACCACAACUGACGCUGAGGCGCGAAAGCUAGGGGAGCAAACAGG